GACUCACGCGGGAAUCUUACCGGGUCCGGACACACUGAGGAUUGACAGAUAUAUACCCCGUGAUUUUAUCGCGGGGUUGAAAGAUGCUAGUUCUUUCAUGAUUAUGUGAUAGGUGGUGCAUGGCCGUUCUUAGUUCGUGGAGUGAUCUGUCUGCUUAAUUGCGUAUCAAUAAUAGAGACCUAGUAUACGCGUAGACUCAUGCGGUAGUGACCCCCCUUCACAGGGCGCGUGUCGCACGUAUGUUAUACGCACAGGUCUCCGAUAGCAACGAACGUGACCGUACUCUAUUGUUGCAGCGACAAUACCUUUCAACGGGUAUUACCGCUGCUUAGCAAGAUUCGUCUUGCAUUAAACUAUAGAGACCGCUGUUUCUUCUUUAAACCAGAGGAAGGAUACGGCAAUAACAGGCUGGUGAUGCAAGUAACUUGAAGUAAUUGACGGAAGUAAUAGGACUGGCAUGAAGAAAAAAGGUGUGGUGUGGUAGCAACUGUGGUGCUGCAAUAACAGAACAUUGGUGUAUAAUGAAACAAGUAGCAUGGGGCGAAAGUAAGGGAUAUCUGUGCCAAAACAAAGGUUAUAGUACCCUCUUAAGGGUGUUCCUUCCCG
rnacentral:rRNA from 1 species